rnacentral:lncRNA from 1 species
UUUUACGCUAUCCAGUGGCCCGAACCUGGGUAAAAACCAUCUGUGUCGCCACCGUCGUGUUGUGUGGCACCCCGGCUUAGAGAAACCGGAACGCCCCGUAUUCCAGCCCAGAGAUCGAGGAGAAGUCUUCUCGAAUAUGGCAAUACUUAGCAUAGAACAAACCAGCUUUCUAUUAUUACAUGAAUAUGAAUACAAGGUCUCCGACAUUACAAUGAAUAACAUCGGCCCGGUGAUACUUCGCCAUCCUCAGUUGCUCUAUGCAAGCAGCAGAACAACUCGAACCAGCGGGAAAACUCUGGCAGCAGAACAAUGAUAACAGUGAUGAACUCCACUCCGCAGGGACUCUGGCUGGAACGCUUAUCCUAGCUCGCAAACAAAGAAUCCACACAAACAAGCAUUCAAAUCCGGCAUGACCUGCAAACUGGCAUGACACGCCAGGUCAGUACAUUGAAUGUACUUGCAAGCUCACAAUAACCAGAAAUAUUCAAGACAAGCAUCAGCAUGGCAUUUACAGGUUAAGCAGGAAUUAACAUGAGAUCCUCAUAACAAUAUGACAUGAACAACAUGAACAUGGUACAACUAGAACAACAUGAGCAUGGCAAGAACAUAUGAAUCUGACGAUACUAGCAUGCAACAUGAUGACACUAUAUGCACCACUAAUUCUGCUCGGGCUACCUCGUAACCAUCACAUGCAUCACUUACCAUCCUCGGACAUCACACGAUCAUCUUAGGAUCAAAUCAAGCUUGGUAAAAACAAUACCGCAGUGAUCAUUAAAUGACCACAAGGAACUUGAUCUUUACCCACGAUUCUCGCACAACAUCCUGAAUAUCCAACAACUCGGUAUCCUAGAUACCAUGGUGAUCAUUCACGAAUCACAAACGGAACCACUCUGGGUUCAACGGGCUACCCCGUAACUAAACGGUGAUCUUUCCGGCGAUCACAACCAUGACCAACACCUGGUCUCAAAUGGUGAUCUUUCCGGCGAUCCCAACCAACCUAUCUCAUCAUCGAACUGGGGUUGUUAUUAAGCACAUUAUUAUUAAUACUGUUGACUCACAGUGUGACCGACACGAACUGGGCCCUUAUCUGCAGGCGCGCUUAUCGAUAGAUUUAAUAUACACUCUGGAGAGGUUAGUACACUGUACCCACACUACGGAACCCAUGGCCUCACACUCCCAUUCGGGUGGACCAACGGCGUUCCGACAAAACCAAUCUACUGUCGUGACAGUCUCCCGGCCACUCCGACCAACUCCCCUUUGGGCUAAGUCCUGGGUGGCCCCGUGCCUACCAAAGGCACCAACGGCCACCGUUGUGGCCAAAACAUAAACGGUCCCAGACAGGGACAACGCGGGUACAACAACAACAAUGGGCACACAAGGUUAUGUCUGCUUACCGGGCCAGGGUACCGCACGCCCAUAACCUUCCCUCCUUGGAGGCACCAGCGAGAGGCAUGCCAAUAGACCGAGUUAGGACCUUCCCAUAAAGGCAAGCGUGGUUGCACUGGUUAUCUCGAUAUGGUGGCACCAUGACUCAGCCAACAGUUGUUCAAGUUCAAUUUAAUCCGGUUAAACUUGAAUGCAAAUAUGCUGAGCCAUGAUAAAAUAACAUGAUGCAAAUUACAAUGCAUGAACAUGAUAUCAACAUAAGCAUGGAGGUGCAACAUAACUAUUAACCAUAUCAACAAUGAAUCAUAUCCAACUGAGCAUGACAUGCUGACUAGCAUGAAUAUCACAAGUACAUACUUCUCAGAAACAUAGCAUGACCACUAGCAUCAACAAUAAAUAUCAUGUAAGAACAUAUCAACAAUGCCAUCAUGCAAGAAUUUAACCAACUGGAUACAAUGGAACAUGCAUAACCACGAUACUCGGGACAAACGACAGUCAUGCACCGAAGACCAUCACAAACAUCAACAUGUACUACUAGCAAGCAUAAUCAUAUUAAAGAAAUACUAGCAACUCGCAAGGCGUGAUAAUCAGGUGCAUAAUAACAUAGCAAGAAAGUAAGCACUAACCCAGAAGCAUUACUAAAACAACGAUAACCAUAUUUUAAACAAGCAAACAUUUUACAAAUAUUCAAGUUGAAAACCAUGACUACUACAUGACUAUCAUGCAAGUGGGUAUUGUGGCUUGCCUAGGGAUGAAGAAAUCACCGGGACAAAGUGUGAGAGGCUUGCGGGAAGAAUUACCGGAAAAACGUUCUCUCUCGGAGGGGCCUGAUUAGGGGCAAGGGCAAGAAGGUCAUUUUCAGAACGUUAAAACGUAGUGAAAAUGAUACCAGCAAAACGGACUCGGCGAGACGAAGAAGUGGGCUUUGGAAUCACCUCAUUUGGAGUUGUGGUUAAAAAGUUAUGGUUGUUUUUCUGCCAGGGACCUAUCUAUAAUGAAAUCAUCACAAACAAGCCCUCAGCCGGAAAAAUAGAAAGCGCCUUCUCAGGAAAUACGUUUUCCAGAACGGAAAGCGUAUUUUGGCUCGAAUAAGAAACAAAAUGCGCUUUCAGUUAGCGUAGGCCUACUCCCUGGAGUACAUCUCCACUUAUCCAGUGUGGCAGUGGGAGGCCGUGGCGCUGAUCGGCUGACGAGUGGGGCCCGCCUUAUCCAUCUCUUUCUCUCUCUCUCUCUUCUCGCCUGGCUUCUUCCUCGCGCCCGACCGAGGACAGAGGAGAGGCGGAGCUGGCUCGGCCGGCGUCUGUCCUUGCCGGCUCCGGCCGUCUCCGGCCGAGGGGAUGGCGCCGCGAGCGAGGCUUGGCCCACCGCGUCCAUCCAGAGGGGAAUCAGGCGCCGGGGAGGGACAGAAUGGCGGCGCCGCGCGGCACAACAAGUAGGGGAGGCGGCGGACAAUCUUGAGGACGACGGCCACAGCUACUCCGUUGACUAGAUGAGGGGAGGGGGGGCUUGGUUGGUAUCAGGGAGGCCUCUGGUGGUGGAAAAGUGGGGCGAGGGGGCUCGGCUCGCUCCAAUUUAGGAGGAGGAGGCCGGCGGCCAUGGUGACACAGAGAGGUGGGGAGGGGCUCUGGAGAUCGAGGGAGAGGCCGGGGAGGUUCCUGGAGGUGGUGUGAGGCUGGUAGCGAGGUCGAACGGCCUCGGGGUGGGCUUGUAUAGCUGGCGGGAGGGGUGUGUCGCGCUGUCGUUGUCGCGGACGCGUGGCCAGCACCGCGGGCGCGUGUGCGCGCGCUCGAGCUCGGGGGAAGGUGACGGGGAGACACAGGGAGGAGCCCACGGGGCAAAGGGAGCCCACGGAGCACGGGGAGGAAGAAGAUGGCAACAAACAGAACCAAAUGGCCAUUGUUCGCCCGUGGUCACGCGGCGGCGAGCGUCUGUGAGCAAGCCGAUGGAGGGGGAGAGGGGUCCAGGGAGUGGGCAACGACGAGGGCUAUCUGCUGGACACGCUUACGCGCGCGAAGCCGACGAGAGGGAGAGGGGCCCGAGCAAGAAACCAUCCAGCUCGCGUCCAUGGCAUGCUAGAGAGGUGGUCACCGCGCGCACUGGUGCACACAGUGUCACAAGCGAUGUCCAACGAUGUCUGGGGUGGAGUCCUUCCUGGGUAGGUUGCAACCGAGGUGGUAACUUGGUUAAACACGUAGUGGUUAAAUGGUAGUCAUCACCUAAAGUUUACUGCAGUAAACUUGGUCAUGCACUGGUGAUCAACAGGGAAGUGUUUGUGGUCAAUGGAGUUGUCUGGGGUGACUAGCUUAGGAAGAACUACCAUACUGGGGAGUUUGGCAGGAAAUGCACCAAGACUUAAUGCACUUGCUUUGCAAUUGCAUAAUCUGGUCCAGAAACUUGAUCAGGAAGGUGCACUCACAUGGAGUGUCAAAUUGAGCUCAAAUUGGGCAAGGAAGAGUCAUUUGGUCCUAUGAAGAUGCUCAAAAAGUCUCAUACCAAUUGGCCGAGCCAAACUGGUACUUGCUUCACAAACAUCUCCUCUGGACAGAAACUUGCAGAAAUUCUAGAGGAAUAAUGGCUUGAUAAACCAUGCCCAAAAUGGGUGGAGGUAGGUUAUAUGGAUAAUAUAAGGCCUAGAAAAACUGGCAGCCAUAAUGGAGCAAGAUAAAAUAUACUUGCUUCACAAACUGAAAUUUUUGGACAGAAUCAAAGAAUUGAAGAUGAGCUCACAUGGAGGCAUGACAUGAGAUAUACUUUGGUGGAGGGCUAUCAUAUGAUGAUGUGAGGGAUCAUGCAAAAUGGCAACUCAUUUGGAUAUGCCUAGCUUGCACAUCCAUCACAAGGCUUCUUUCUGGAUAGAAACUUUGGAAAAUCAUAAUUAAAUAAUUACUAGGCAAAUGAGGUUGCAUUUUGGCAUGUGGCAAUGAUAUGGAUAGUAAAGGUGUCCAAGGAGUUUGAGGUCAAUUGGGAAAAGGAAAAUAGCACUUGCUUCACAAUGUGCCAUUUAGGGCAGAAUAGGAAACGAAUUAUUUGAGCAUGAUGAUAAACAUGUCAAAUGAAAUAUUUUGCCAUAUUUGAGAAAGAUAUGACCCAAAAAAUUUAUGUGAAUUAUUUGGGAAUUUAAGGAGUGAUGGAAAUAAAGGUUGCUUCACAACCUAGGGCAAUUUGAGUUAUUCCUUUAAUAGAAAAGGAAUAUUCCCAAUAAAAAGAAUAUUGGGAUUUGGGCUAGGAUGAAAUGACAGGGUCUAGGGAAGGAUUUGGGAAUGACAAGCCACUCUGGAAACAAAGAAGAGGGCAUCUUCUUCAGUUUCCAGACCACAAAGCCACGAAAAAAGAAAACUCAAGCAAAAACCUCAGAAAAACAAAAGAGAAGGAAAGGGCUAAAAUCAGGUUGUCACAAACCUUACCCCCUUAAAGAAAUCUCAUCCUCGAGAUUUGGUUGCUCAGGGAACAAGUAUGAAGAUACUGACUUAAGGAAACCGUUUCCAACUCGGGUAUCCUUUUUCUUAUUUUUGUUCCCACUAAAUUUUUAUCUGACUGGCCCUGGGGUGGUUUGCUUUAAUAUAUCCAUAUUCUGACAUAUCUUACCUUGCUUGUUCAUGCUUACACAGGCUCCAAUUUAUUUUUAGACCUGCUGACUUAGCUGACUGUGAUUGAUUCUCAUGACUGAAAUAUAUGUCGGUCUCACAAAUCCAAGAGUGAUUUCCGCUGGGUGUGUCAUCCGACGCUGACAAUCUUUCAUGAAAUGGUGAUCAGAUUUUUCUAGUGGACACCCAAGCUCAAACUCCUUGCAUUGGGUUUCUCCACUAAAUGCAGGUCCUUCGGGUUCCAAACAGUGAGUUGGGUCAUAACCGCUUUUCUGACAGAUUCUGGCUUAUCGCGGAAGUUUCUGAAUCAUCUUAACUGGUUCCACUGUCUUGAGUAUCGGAUACGCACCAAACAUUAGAUUGUCGCCUGUAGUGGCUAGCAUAAGAGUUUGACAUGUAUGAUAAUAUCUAUAGACUUGACUGACGGUGGUUCUGCACCAUGAGGGUCUUGCAACAAUUUUCAUACCUGCAUCAGUGAUCUUGCUCCUUCAUUAUUGUUUUCUUUGUCUGGAUCCUUGGCUGAAAGAGCUGGGUCAUAUUGCUUCUUCGUAUCACCAUAGGUACUGUCGGUGCAAUUUUUCGGCAAUCGCAGCUUAUCCUCAUUUUUCUGACAGGGUACCCCAUUAAAUGGCAGGUUCAACACCCCUCAAGUUCUGACCGCAGGAAAAUGAUCAUCUGAACCUUUGCAAGAAAUCGACAAAUAAAUCAGUAGCCACCAGAACGGUCUUUACAACUCAGAUCUGGGACAUUACUGAAAUAACUCAACCACAGCUUAGGACGGUCGAAAAGCAGCUCAGAACAUGAGACCGGGUUGAUAAGAAGAAGGUGACAACUCCCUAAAAUAGCCAAAAAGCAGCUAUAGGGCUACUGUCACAAAAAGAAACUCAACAGUUGUACGAGAUGGCCGAAAAGCAGCUCAGAACUCGUGACAAUCGUUGAAGAGAGAAAUAAAAAUCGGCAUCCACCCCGGAUAGCUAAAAACAGCUUAGAUCACAGGCGUGGUGCCGUCGUUGGAGAGAAAGGGGACAAGGGCUCAUCAGGAUCAUUUUCCAGGUUCACAAGUACUUGUGUUGAGCUCAUUGAUGUUGUCAAUCCUCAUAAUCCUUUGUCACACUGCGAUGUAUACUGGCUUUCUUCUCUUAACCAUCCUCAUGUGGUUGUCAGAUCCUCAUCCGAGUGACUUGUAAGAUCUUGGUGGUAUGCUCACCACAUAUAUAUGAGAAUCUGAUUCCCGAGACAAACGUGUAUUCUGACUGAUUCUUGCUUCUGACCAAAAUGUUGUGGAUCUGAUUCUUGGGAUUCAUUGCCAUAUGAUGUCAAUUCACAGCGUACUACCUUGUACCAAUGCCUUAUGAGGAAGAUUGGCUGGCUUGUGCUCGAAACUUUCAGCGGACAGCUUGUUGAAGAAGACCGGGUAUCGUGCUUCAGAAGCUUACCCCCUUAAAGACUUUGCUGGGGAAAGACUUAGUACCUUAUGCCGUAAGCUUUUGCGGUUGCUUACUAAAGAAGGCAGAGUACCUUGUAUGGGAAAUCAUCCAUGUAUCGUACUGAGGAUAUAGAUGAAUCUUGCCUUGGAAGCUUCUCGGGUAUCUUGCGAGGGAAGAUUGGGUUGCUUACACCAGAAGCUUCUUAUUGUGAUAUGCGGACUGCUUUUUCCAUAUAUAACCAUCUUCAUAUUUUUGUUAUUGAUUUCUUGUAUGAAACGGGGUUUUGUAGGACUAUCCUCCUUUCUGGGUACAUGCCAUAUUUUUGCUUGCUUCCAGGUACAUCGGGUUCCAAAAUCAUCCUCAACGAAAAAUUAAACUUGUAUCUGAGCCAUACCUUUGAUAAUAUUCUGUCAACCUUGCACACAAUUUAUCUUCUUGCUGAUUUGAUCAUUUCUGCUAUGAGGAGUGCAUGCCGAGGGAGACUUGACACUUAGUAACAUGAUCAGAUAUCCCCCAAACUGAAUGUAGUCGGCUGAGAAUUCCAGACUGUUGUGAGGAGUGCAAGUUAAUGCAAACUUUAUACUGACAUUCCAUCCAGGAUUUCUUUUGUAUUCAGACGAGCUAUUUCCAAUUUCACUGCAGUCUGCUGACAAUUCCAUUCUGUUUAGCUGAGUUUCCAAAUAUAUGCAUUUCUUGCUGACUCUUCGGGUCCGGUGUCGGCUGACGAGCAACUUUAAUAGGGGGGAAUUUGUAACACCGAAGGCCCAAAGAAAGAAACAAAAGAAACGACUAAAAUAAAAGCACACAAGCAUACUACUAAUAUAAUUGAUCAAGCAAUCAUCACAUAUUACUGCUACUCACACCAUAAUAUGCAUGCACACCUAAGCACACAAAUCGCACGGAAACUCCGGAAUUACAGUCUAAUAUGUUGUGGCGGUGUGCACGAAAAUUAUAUCCAUGUGUGGAAGGAGUUGGCGUAACCGAAGCUACACCAAGCACUGGCUGAACAGUGGCGGGAUCUAGAUGGAUACACAGGUGAGGACGGACUUGACGAUCAAAUAGCGAGACACAAAAGUCACGACCACAUCAUCAUCAAGCGUACGAAAGGGAUCCAUACACAUCCAAAGAAUAGAAUGGCUGAGUAGGGUAGCGGUGGAAAAACAAGGCUCGCUGGCAUUGCCCUUUUCUGAUAACCAAGAUCAGUAAGGGUUGCCAGAGGGACGAGAUGGAUGGCAUGAUUCAGGAUAGAACAAGUCUAUCACCAAAAUAAUAUGGGUGGGUGGCGAAAAAGUUUACGUGAUACCUGAGCAUAACUCCUGCAAAUGGUGUCUGGAACUCUGGGUACCAGGGCAUCACUCUGCUGGGACAGAGAUGACGCCGAACACCAAAGAGCAGACAUGCUAACAAGGAGGGUGCAGGCGGUGGACCGAAAACGAUGCCACCUACACUCACAAGAUUAAUCGUUAGUGACAAAAUAAUAAUCUACAUGCAUGCUAUGCGACAAACAAAUGCAACAAUCAAGUGCAACAAACCAACUGGGGUCUAUACUACCGCUUUCUAACGUUCGCGCGGGCUAGGACAUCCUACAGCUAGACCUGCCCUAAUACCAAGCCUAUGGCACCCUGGCUCAGAGAAUCCGGAACGCCCUGUAUUCCAGCCCAGAGAUCGAGGAGAAGCCUUCUAGAAUAUAGCACUGCUUAGCAUAGAACAAACCAGCUUUCUAAUAUUACACGAAUAUGAAUACAAGGUCUCCGACCUUACAAUGAAUAACAUCGGCAUGGCGACAGUUUGCCAUCCUCAGUUGCUCUAUGCAAGCAGCAGAACAACUCGACGCAGCGGGAAAACUCUGGCAGCAGAACAACGACGACGGUGGUGAACUCCACUCUGCAGGGACUCUGGUUGGAACGCUUAUCCUAGAUCGCCAACAAAGAAUCCACGGCAAACAAGCAUUCAAAUCCGGCAUGACCUGCAAACUGGCAUGACACGCCAGGUCAGUACAUUGAAUGUACUUGCAAGCUCACAAUAACCAGAAACAUUCAAGACAAGCAUCAGUAUGGCAUUUACAGGUUAAGCAGGAAUUAACAUGAGAUCCUCAUAACAAUAUGACAUGAACAACAUGAACAUGGUACAAC